CUUCCAAUUAAAUGUUAAUGUUGAAAUUCUAUUUCCACGUGUAAUAUGUCUUGGACAAUACCCCCUCGAUAUCGAUCCCUUGGUAUCUUGCAAAUAAAUAAUAGAUAUUUCUUUUUCUAUUAAGAAAGAAUAAAUUUCGAAACAAAAAUUUCAAAGUUCUGGUUUGUGAAUGUGCUAAUAUUUUGGUGAAUGGCAAGAGUACAUUAUUCUAGGGGCUAGGAAUGGGAUAUGUUUGUGCACUUUAGGGUGGCAUUGCCGCACUUUGUUCAGUUUCAACAGACAUUCUUAGAGCAAGAAUGCUACUCUUAAGUUGGUGUUACAUCCAGAAUUAAGGUGAUGAAGUUCAUUUUUUGCAUAAUUAUGAGCUUUCUAGAUAAGUUUGUGUUAUGUUAUCCUUUUCAUUUGAAGAUAGAAGAGUGACUGGGAAACAGUGGUCAAUUUAUUAGCACGCUGACAAUGGACUCCAGGAAGGGUGUAAGUGGAUGGGUCUGAAUCUGAAUGCAACUUUGGAAUUUCUCGUUACAGCUAUUGUGAGAGCUGUAGUCUCUGAGUUCCUUGAUUGUGGUAGUUCAUCUACGGACUUUGCUGAUCUUGCAUAUACUUCCAUUAGCAUGCAGCUAUUUUUGGCACUUCUGUUUUGAGAAUAAUUUGGUGUUGACUUCUCGAAGUCCAUAAUAAUAUAAUAAUAUAGAGAGCACAAAAUUAACAUGGCUGAACAUGAUGAGACCCUAUGGAGCUUGUGAAUUUUCUAUUAUUUAUUACUUUUUGGACUUUUGUGUAGCUUUUAUCGUCAUCACCAUGUAAUUUCUUUUUGAAGGUGGCUUUGGCAGAGAAAACUGCUGUAUUGUUCACAAAGGAUGGAGAUCAACACAACAACCUUCAUGACAUGCAGUGCAUGUGGUAUGAACUUGCUUCUGGUGAAAGUUACCUCCGUCAAGGUGAUCUUGGACGAGCCUUGAAGAAAUUUUUGGCUGUGGAGAAGCACUAUGCUGAUAUUACAGAAGACCAAUUUGAUUUCCACUCAUAUUGCUUAAGGAAAA